rnacentral:tRNA from 1 species
GCCUCAGUGGCAUAGCAUGGUAGCGCACCACCUUGGUAAGGUGGGGGUCCCGGGUUCGAAUCCCGGCUGAGGCUCCA